GUCCACGCCGUAAACGAUGAUAACUAGGUGUUGGGAGCAUUGACCCUUUCAGCGCCGACGCUAACGCAUUAAGUUAUCCGCCUGGGGAGUACGGUCGCAAGACUAAAACUCAAAGGAAUUGACGGGGGCCCGCACAAGCGGUGGAGUAUGUGGUUUAAUUCGACGCAACGCGAAGAACCUUACCUGGAUUAGAAAUCAACUGGAAGAUCUGUAGAGAUAUGGAUCGUCCCCGCAAGGGGACUGGUUGACAGGUGCUGCAUGGCUGUCGU
rnacentral:rRNA from 1 species